UUCACAGCAAUGCUUGUUAAAUAUGCUAAUUUGUUAAUUGCACACCCUUUAAAUCAUGUCUGCACUUGUCCACACUAUGCUUGACAAAGGGGCGUGACCCCGAAACGUUGCACUACUGCAUAAUAAAAUUGCAAGGGCUUGCCCUGCUACUACAAUUCCUGUGUGCCGGUGAAAUUCUUCUUACCCUUGUUGUGAGGCUGCCGAUUCCUCUAUCACUGGGCACCAGGAUAAGAACCUUUGGGAGUGUGUGGUGUGCGGCUUCUCCAUAUUCUAUUGGACUGACCUUGUCGGCACGGAGUUCCCAGCACCCAGCGUCACAUUACCCAUACCAUGUCUUUUGCAGAUAUUGCUGCCAGCACGGACCGUCGGGCAGACACAUUCAGCUUCACGGAAACUGAAAGGAGGAAAAUACUUAAUGCUACCCAGAGCCUUCCCACAAGCGUGAGUAAAAGUGGAAUAGACACUGCACGUAAAAUUGAACAAUUAAAGAAACGGGAAGUAGCAUGGGCUAUGCAUAUGUCAUCCUUAGCAGAAUAUGCCAAGGCACAGCGUAUUCCUCGAGGCUUGCGAAUCAUGCUCCAACCAGCCUUAUUCAAGGACAAUCAGGAGUUCCUAGCCAAGUGGCGUGCUAUCCUAAAUCGCUGCAGCCUCGAUUUGAUUACACUCACCGUUCAGCAGCUGCAGUCCGGGUCAAGAGAAUUGAAACAACAGCUGCAUGUGUUAGAGGACGAGUACAAGGCCCUUCCAGAUACAGACACAGCUCUAAUUCGCGACCUAGAGGUGAAGCUGGAACGCAUGCAGGCAGAGCUGUUACUGAUGAAGUUGCGCAAAUUUGAACGCGAUACCAGGGACUACAACAGAGGGGAAGUAUAUACCUGGAAAGAUACAAGGCGCCAGACACGCAAACACCGAUCCGCAUCAGCUGUUUCAUCAGACAUGGGAUCAGCGCAUUCAUCAGAAUCGGGGCGAGAGUCUCCUGCUUCCUCCCAAGGGGCUGCGGUUUCUUUUUAGGCAAAGGCCACCCAAGGCACACCGGAGGACCAGGAGGGGCAAGCGAAAACCAGCAAGCCGGCCUUCGCAGCAGCAGGAAGAAAACGUAUCGCAGCUGAGUGCAUCCAGGAUGAUACUGAUGAUGAUGCAGCAGCAGCACCACCACCACCUGACCAGGCAGCACCACCUCCACCUGACCAGGCAGAACUGCCAGCUGACCAGGCAGCACCGCCAGCUGACCAGGCACCACCACCUCACCGGCAGCGCCACUACCCGAACGGGCAACACCACCGGACCGGGCACCACCACCUGACCGGGCAGCGCCACCACCGGACCAGGCAGAACCACCACCUAAACAGGGGCUCAGUGUCGGCACUGGGAAUGCCUAUUAUGACCACACUGAGCUCCUGGUUACCCUGGUCCACCAGAUGAAUGCCAUCAGGCAGGAUCUGGCAGAAGUCAGGGACAUAGUGGAGUCCCUGCAGGGGGUCAUUGCUCCUCCUCCUCCUCCACUGUAAUUUUAUAUUUUAUCAUUCAUUGCUUGGCCUAGCACGGUUGUGCUAUUUUGUUUAUUAAAAAAGUUUUUUAAAUCUCUA